UCCCAAGUCUGUCAAGCAGCAGCCAAUGGGGACUGCUGGCGAGAAGAUUCUGGCCCCCAUUCCAGAUGGUGACAGUGGCUUCUGCCCUUCUGUCUGCUCCCAGAGGCAGGGUUGGUAUGCUGGGACCAGGUUUCAGGACAGAGACUUGAUGGGAGUUCAGACCAGCUCCCUCUCUCCUUUGUGUUGCUAACCCUGCUGGAAUAUCAUCUAUUAAUGAAGUCGAGUGAAAAGCAAAUACUGUAACAGUUUGGCUCAGCAGCAUUCCACACUGGGAAUCACAGCCUUUCCAAUUUGGGCAUAAUAAGAGAAGAGAAAUGGGAGUUUCACUUCUGGUUCUUACCUUCCCAAAUUGUGGAGAGCACAGACAUUCUUGGUUUACACCAGGCAAUAACGCAAUUUUUUAAAUGACAAGUUCAAACAAUAAGAUUUGCCAUCCAGGGUAUUUAAAUGUACAGCUAUGUUUGAGUUUGAUGAAUAUGAGUUCUGUGUAUGGAUGUCCUGUUAUGUUAAAAUAUAAUUCUGUAACCUGU